UACGUAGGGGGCAAGCGUUGUCCGGAAUCAUUGGGCGUAAAGAGCGUGUAGGCGGCCAGAUAAGUCCGCUGUGAAAUCUCGAGGCUCAACUUCGAGCUGUCGGUGGAAACUGUCUGGCUAGAGUCCGGAAGAGGAGAAUGGAAUUCCUGGUGUGGCGGUGAAAUGCGCAGAUAUCAGGAAGAACACCCGUGGCGAAGGCGGUUCUCUGGGACGGUACUGACGCUGAGACGCGAAAGCGUGGGGAGCGAACAGG
rnacentral:rRNA from 1 species